rnacentral:rRNA from 1 species
GAUAGAGGGUGCAAACGUUGCUCGGAAUUACUGGGCGUAAAGCGCGUGUAGGCGGGCUAGUAAGUCGGACGUGAAAUCCCUGAGCUCAACUCAGGAACUGCAUCCGAAACUAUUAGCCUUGAGUGGUGGAGAGGGAAGCAGAAUUCCUGGUGUAGAGGUGAAAUUCGUAGAUAUCAGGAGGAACACCGGUGGCGAAGGCGGCUUCCUGGACACUAACUGACGCUGAGACGCGAAAGCGUGGGGAGCAAACAGG